rnacentral:rRNA from 1 species
GAUGAACGCUGGCGGCGUGCCUAAUACAUGCAAGUCGAGCGAACAGACGAGGAGCUUGCUCCUCUGACGUUAGCGGCGGACGGGUGAGUAACACGUGGAUAACCUACCUAUAAGACUGGGAUAACUUCGGGAAACCGGAGCUAAUACCGGAUAACAUGUUGAACCGCAUGGUUCAACAGUGAAAGACGGUCUUGCUGUCACUUAUAGAUGGAUCCGCGCCGCAUUAGCUAGUUGGUAAGGUAACGGCUUACCAAGGCAACGAUGCGUAGCCGACCUGAGAGGGUGAUCGGCCACACUGGAACUGAGACACGGUCCAGACUCCUACGGGAGGCAGAAGUAGGGAAUCUUCCGAAAUGGGCGAAAGCCUGACGGAGAAACGCCGCGUGAGUGAAGAAGGUCUUCGGAUCGUAAAACUCUGUUAUUAGGGAAGAACAAAUGUGUAAGUAACUAUGCACGUCUUGACGGUACCUAAUCAGAAAGCCACGGCUAACUACGUG